UCCGGUUGAUCCUGCCAGAGGCCGCUGCUAUCCGGCUGGGACUAAGCCAUGCUAGUCUAGGGGCUUGUACUCCUUCGGGGGUGCAAGCACCGGCGGACGGCUCAGUAACACGUGGACAACCUGCCCUCGGGUGGGGGAUAACCCCGGGAAACUGGGGCUAAUCCCCCAUAGGUGAUGGGUGCUGGAAUGCCCCAUCUCCGAAAGCGCUUAGCGCCCGAGGAUGGGUCUGCGGCGGAUUAGGUAGUUGGUGGGGUAACGGCCCACCAAGCCUAAGAUCCGUACGGGCUGUGGGAGCAGGAGCCCGGAGAUGGACCCUGAGACAAGGGUCCAGGCCCUACGGGGCGCAGCAGGCGCGAAACCUCCGCAAUGCGGGAAACCGCGACGGGGUUAGCCGGAGUGCCCGUGCAUUGCACGGGCUGUCGGGGUGCCUAAACAGCACCCCAUAGCAAGGGCCGGGCAAGGCCGGUGGCAGCCGCCGCGGUAAGACCGGCGGCCCGAGUGGCGGCCACUCUUAUUGGGCCUAAAGCGUCCGUAGCCGGCCCAGUAAGUCCCCCGGGAAAUCUGGUCGCUUAACGAUCAGACUUCCGGGGGAUACUGCUGGGCUAGGGACCGGGAGAGGCCGAGGGUAUUCCCGGGGUAGGGGUGAAAUCCUGUAAUCCCGGGAGG
rnacentral:rRNA from 1 species